UACGAAGGGGGCUAGCGUUGCUCGGAAUCACUGGGCGUAAAGCGCACGUAGGCGGAUCUUUAAGUCAGAGGUGAAAUCCCAAGGCUCAACCUUGGAACUGCCUUUGAUACUGGGGAUCUCGAGUCCGGAAGAGGUGAGUGGAACUGCGAGUGUAGAGGUGAAAUUCGUAGAUAUUCGCAAGAACACCAGUGGCGAAGGCGGCUCACUGGUCCGGUACUGACGCUGAGGUGCGAAAGUGUGGGGAGCGAACAGG
rnacentral:rRNA from 1 species